rnacentral:misc_RNA from 1 species
UUUCCGUAGGUGAACCUGCGGAAGGAUCAUUAGUGACUUGAGUAUGUUAGCGGUCCUCUUAGGCGUACCUACCAUCAAAUCAUAUCCAUAACACCUGUUAACUGUAAAUCUGUCUUGAAUACGCAAGUGAUUAGAGACCCUGUCCAUUUUAUACAUUAAUUAUAGUAACAAACGAAGACUUCUUAUAAUAUCAUAAAACUUUCAACAACGGAUCUCUAAGAUCUCGCAUCGUUGCAGAACGAAGCCGAUCGGAAGAGCACACGCUGAACUACAGUGACG